AUUGAACGCUGGCGGCAGGCUUAACACAUGCAAGUCGAGCGGGGAAGGGUAGCUUGCUACCUGACCUAGCGGCGGACGGGUGAGUAAUGCUUAGGAAUCUGCCUAUUAGUGGGGGACAACAUUCCGAAAGGAAUGCUAAUACCGCAUACGCCCUACGGGGGAAAGCAGGGGAUCUUCGGACCUUGCGCUAAUAGAUGAGCCUAAGUCAGAUUAGCUAGUUGGUGGGGUAAAGGCCUACCAAGGCGACGAUCUGUAGCGGGUCUGAGAGGAUGAUCCGGCACACUGGGAGUGAGACACGGCCCAGACUCCUACGGGAGGCAGCAGUGGGGAAUAUGGGACAAUGGGCGAAAGCCUGAUCCAGCCAUGCCGCGUGUGUGAAGAAGGCCUUUUGGUUGUAAAGCACUUUAAGCGAGGAGGAGGCUUAACUGGUUAAUACCUGGGAUAAGUGGACGUUACUCGCAGAAUAAGCACCGGCUAACUCUGUGCCAGCCGCCGCGGUAA
rnacentral:rRNA from 1 species